AUUGAACGCUGGCGGCAUGCCUUACACAUGCAAGUCGAACGGCAGCGGACCUUCGGGUGCCGGCGAGUGGCGAACGGGUGAGUAAUAUAUCGGAACGUACCUUUCAGUGGGGGAUAACGUAGCGAAAGUUACGCUAAUACCGCAUAUUCUGUGAGCAGGAAAGCAGGGGAUCGCAAGACCUUGCGCUGAUUGAGCGGCCGAUAUCAGAUUAGCUAGUUGGUGAGGUAAAGGCUCACCAAGGCGACGAUCUGUAGCGGGUCUGAGAGGAUGAUCCGCCACACUGGAACUGAGACACGGUCCAGACUCCUACGGGAGGCAGCAGUGGGGAAUUUUGGACAAUGGGCGCAAGCCUGAUCCAGCCAUGCCGCGUGAGUGAAGAAGGCCUUCGGUUGUAAGUACUCUUUCGGUCCGGGAACGGAAAGUACGCACAGGUUAAUACCUCGUGUGGAUGACGGUACCGGAAGUAAGAAGACACCGG
rnacentral:rRNA from 1 species